rnacentral:rRNA from 1 species
UGCAGUCGAACGGUAACAGGAUGUGCUUGCACAUCGCUGACGAGUGGCGGACGGGUGAGUAAUGCUUGGGAACUUGCCUUUGCGAGGGGGAUAACAGUUGGAAACGACUGCUAAUACCGCAUAAUGUCUACGGACCAAACGGGGCUUAGGCUCCGGCGCAAAGAGAGGCCCAAGUGAGAUUAGCUAGUUGGUAAGGUAACGGCUUACCAAGGCGACGAUCUCUAGCUGUUCUGAGAGGAAGAUCAGCCACACUGGGACUGAGACACGGCCCAGACUCCUACGGGAGGCAGCAGUGGGGAAUAUUGCACAAUGGGGGAAACCCUGAUGCAGCCAUGCCGCGUGUGUGAAGAAGGCCUUCGGGUUGUAAAGCACUUUCAGUUGUGAGGAAAAGUUAGUAGUUAAUACCUGCUAGCCGUGACGUUAACAACAGAAGAAGCACCGGCUAACUCCGUGCCAGCAGCCGCGGUAAUACGGAGGGUGCGAGCGUUAAUCGGAAUUACUAGGCGUAAAGCGCACGCAGGCGGUUUGUUAAGCUAGAUGUGAAAGCCCCGGGCUCAACCUGGGAUGGUCAUUUAGAACUGGCAGACUAGAGUCUUGGAGAGGGGAGUGGAAUUCCAGGUGUAGCGGUGAAAUGCGUAGAUAUCUGGAGGAACAUCAGUGGCGAANGCGACUCCCUGGCCAAAGACUGACGCUCAUGUGCGAAAGUGUGGGUAGCGAACAGNAUUAGAUAUCCUGGUAGUCCACACCGUAAACGCUGUCUACUAGCUGUGUGUGCCUUU